AUAAAACUUUAAGUACAAAUAUUUAUUAAUAAUUUAUUUUCUACGAGUUUAACUUCAAUAACAUUACGCAUUAUCUUAUAUUAAUAAUAUGCAUUAGAUCGAACCAUAAAAUAUAAAUAAAUAAUCAAAUUAUAAAAAAUUAUUACUAUCAUUAGCCCGACACUAGGACUAUGUGUCAAGACGACUACUAUAGCCAAUGAAAGAGUACGUCUGUUCAUAACAAAUACACAUUGUACACUAUUUUAACAAGGAAUAACUUGUUUCACUUUCCAGAUUCCAUAAAUAUUACAUACGCUAUAAAAAGCCAUGUCCAGAUGAUAACUAACACGCUGUGCAUUGGAAAAUCACCUAUGCACACGAUUUUUGCAGACAACUUAGAACUGAAAAAAAUGGACACAAAAAUUGACACAGAGUUUCUGAUACCGGACCAAAUGUUGAGACAAAAACUCUUUUUGACCAGAAAAAUCGAUCAUAACACUUCACCAAGUAAACAAUUCAAAACAUUUCAUUCAAAUUUCAAACUUGAUCAAUUUUUUUUUUAACAUUUAUUAAAAUAUACACAA